GCAACCGUGAAAGUACUUCUGGCGAGAUAAAGUUUUGGUUAUCACGUAAGUUGAAGUCGUGGUCAGUCGCCACAAAUCGCGAACACCCUUCCUGGAAACCUAGACGCCUCUCGAAGCCGAUAAGUAACCUUGGAGGGCCCAGACGAAAGAUUUCGAAUUCACUCGCACAAAAUAAAAAAACUUUUGAAUACCAGUAAAAGUAUGGCGGAUAUUUCUACACCCAAGAAAGUGCCGCCAAUGAAGAGGCUAGGAAAAUCAUCUUCGCAUGUCAUGACCACCGACCGACCUCGGAAAAUCAUCUUCGCAUGACAAAUCAAAUGAAGAAUAAUCAAAUCAAAGUUUUGGUUAUCCCAUGAAAUCGAACUGAUGGUCAGCGUUAAUGAAGCUCGCUCUUCUUUAAAGAAGUCAUAGAAGAUAGAAAAGACCUUAUCUCAGCAAAGUUUUCUCCUGAAGUCGAAAUUGCAGGAAAAAAUGGACGAACCGUCUUGCAAGGAGUUCACAAAUAACGGAAUUACAACAGAAGAUUAUUGACGCCGAGCAAGGUGACAGAACGAAAUAUCGAUGGAAUAACAUCCAUACGAUGGCUGAAGCUAAAGCAGGCCUCAGGUCUUUGUCUAAUUGGGUGACUGGAUCAGACAAAAGUUUGAAACACCUGGAGCAUUUGAAUUGAACAAGGAAGAAAAACGACGAUUACUUGCUAGAUUAGUUCGAUCAACUGGAUUUGAUGCAUUUCUUGCAAAGAAAUGGUCUUCUGAGAAGAGAUUUGGGUUGGAAGGUUGUGAGGUGUUAAUUCCUGCAAUGAAAGAAAUUAUUGAUGUUGCAAGUACUCAUGGUAUUGAAAGUUUUGUUAUUGGUAUGCCACAUCGUGGACGGCUAAAUGUACUUGCAAACGUUUGUCGUAAACCACUUGAACAAAUCUUUACUCAGUUCAAUCCAAAUUUUGAGCCAUCAGAUGAAGGCUCUGGUGACGUCAAGUAUCAUCUAGGAAUGUCGCACAAGAGAAUUAAUCGGGUGACAAACAAGGAAAUACGUCUUGCUGUUGUUGCUAAUCCUUCACAUCUUGAAGCGGUGGAUCCUGUUGUCCAAGGAAAAACUAAAGCUGAACAAUUUUACAAAUAUGAUGAUAACGGAAAGAAAGUGAUGAGUAUACUCCUUCAUGGGGACGCUGCAUUUGCUGGUCAGGGUGUAGUUGAUGAAACAUUUCAUCUUAGCGAUCUUCCAAAUUAUACAACCCAUGGAACUAUUCAUAUUAUCGUGAACAAUCAGAUUGGUUUUACGACAGACCCUAGAGUUGUUGCUCGUUCAUCGCCAUAUUGUACAGAUGUAGCUAAAGUCGUUCAGUGUCCAAUAUUUCACGUAAACGCUGAUCAUCCUGAGGCUGUAAUGAAUGUUUGUCGCACUGCAGCUGAAUGGAGGAAUGAGUUUGGAAAGGAUGUUGUCAUUGAUCUUGUAGUUUGAUGAACUUCUAACAAGCAAUUGGCAGAGAAGAAAGGGAUCCGUUUUCAAACUGUGAAUUUGUUAAUUUAUGGAAAGUAUUGGUGAUUUUCUUAUGCGCCUUGCUGAUGGACUCCUUACAAAAUAAUAUCAUUGGAUUCUCGUUGCUACAUUUGUUAUUCCCUUAAGACACACAUGACAACCAAGAAUUGCUGUUGUCAAAAUUAUUUUUAUUGUUUGCCUGACGAGAUGAAGACAAGAAAGAGCUUUGGCUGAAAAACGUGAAAAGCAAUGUUACAAUUCGUUCGUUGAAGUUUGGUGAAGAAGCCAUUAUCUUUAAAGCGAUGUGGUGCUGGUUCAGUUCAUUGAAAGUUCCGUUUAUUCAAAACCAUUUGAAAUAUGCGACAAGGAGAAAUACUGUGCGGCGCGUUUCGCAUCAAUAUUCAUUCAAUUGCUUCAAGUUUUGUCACAGCCACAAACGAAGAAUAAUGUUUACGAAGCUCAAAGCCACAUGUU